GACGAACGCUGGCGGCGUGCUUAACACAUGCCAGUCGAACGGAAAGGCCCUGCUUUUGUGGGGUGCUCGAGUGGCGAACGGGUGAGUAACACGUGAGUAACCUGCCCUUUACUUUGGGAUAACUUCAGGAAACUGGGGCUAAUACCGGAUAGGAGCUCCUUCUGCAUGGUGGGGGUUGGAAAGUUUCGGCGGUUGGGGAUGGACUCGCGGCUUAUCAGCUUGUUGGUGGGGUGGCGGCUUACCAAGGCUUUGACGGGUAGCCGGCCUGGGAGGGUGACCGGCCACAUUGGGACUGAGAUACGGCCCAGACUCAUACGGGAGGCAGCAGUGGGGAAUAGUGCACAAUGGGCGGAAGCCUGAUGCAGCAACGCCGCGUGCGGGAUGACGGCCGGCGGGUUGUAAACCGCUUGCGCCUGCGACGAAGAGUGAGUGACGGUAAUGGGUAAAGAAGCACCGGCUAACUACGUG
rnacentral:rRNA from 1 species